ACCCCCAUUAAUUAAUGUUAAUUUAAAUUCCUAAGCCCAAUUCCUCACACAAAUAAUUAGUCCUUAACCUACUCUGAUUAAGCCCAAUCGCCAUCAAUCUUCUACAUCUUUCGAACCCUAUCCUCCCGCCAAAGACACCAGAUCCAUUUCUAUGUUCACGCUAUUCUCCAAUGGAAUAAGCGCAUGAAUCUCACCGCAGUCAAAGACGCCGACGAAGUCAUGGAAAGGCACGUCGAGGACUCGCUCACGAUCCUCCCUCCUUUUAGGGAUUGCUACCGCACGUGCUGCGGCGGCGCGUCGUCACAUGAGAGGCUUAGCCUCAUGGACGUUGGAACGGGUGCUGGUAUUCCCGGAGUUGUUUUGGCCAUAGCUUGUCCAGGUUAGAGUGAUUCCUAAAGCUCUGUUGCAUCAUGAGGUACAAUUCCAUCCUGAUGUGUCAACUACUAUGGUUGUAAAGCCUGGCCCUUUACUGGACUUCCUUUGUGAGAAUAAGAAUGUGAAGCAUCCAAAUCUUAUUGAUUGGACCAAGGUAAUAUUGCUAUCUUAUUUUAAUUAUAUCAAGGUUAUGAUGUUUGUGUGUAUUGAAUGUGAUGCUUUGUUUUUGUUUACUUUCAAGCAAAAAGAGUGCUGAAAAACCUCAAAAUCAAGGCUAAUAAAAAAAAUCAGUGAACUCAGUGAUAAUCCUUACAGGACUCAAAAUAGCUCUGAGUGUGGCUACAAUAGGAUUGAGUGUGACACCAAGUUUCAAUGUGUUACAAUAUGGAGCAGUUGAAAAUGGACAAACCAACGAUUCACCGGUAACUAAUAACUUUAUUUGAAUUACAUUUCUUAUCCCAAUCAAAUAUUAAUAAAGAUAUAUGCAUAGGCAUUUGAGAAGGUGUGGAAAGCAGUGUGCUCAAGCAAGGGAGAUAUAUCUAAGCUUAUAAUACUAGCAGGCAAGACCUUCAUGCUAAAGCUUCUUUCCUUCAACGGUCCAUGCAAAUCUAAGCUUAAGGCACCUUGAUUUCAUUGCAGCGGUACACCAAGGCAUUGACAAAUUUACAAAGGGCUCAAUUAGUUUACUCGGGUUGAAGGUCAUAUUCUACAGCCCCCAAAACUUGUAGUUGGAAAUGAGGAGAGCUUCAUUCCAAAGGAAACCAGUUAAACCUAUGAGGAUUGAGCGCUGGACCGUUGUAAACUUCUCAGCUCACUGUGCACACGUUUUCUGUGUAAUACUAUCAAGAAAUGUGCUGAAAUGAAGGGCAUUGUAAGAGUUCUAUGGCUAAUUUAGUAGUUUGUUGAUGUUGUGAUACAUCAUUCUUUUGUCACUUUUGGUUUCUUUUGAAAAACAAUAAUAGUUAUGUAGAAUAAUACCAUAUAUAAUUAUGUUUGGAACUAUUGACAUUAAGAAUUUUUUUUAUAUAUAGAAUUAAGUCUUAUAU